rnacentral:RNase_P_RNA from 2 species
UGUGGAGGGAAGCUCGGUGCUGAGGUUACAGACAGAGUGUAGGGGUCACUCUAUGUGCCUCAGGGAAGGUCUGAGACUGGAGCUCCUAGUUGCCCCUGCGGGGCAUCCCUUGGAUGAAGGGGGUGGGUCCCCAGAGAACUUGGCUCUGAUUGCCCAGUGAGUGCAAAAGAUGCAGCUAGAACCCAAUGUUGUGCUUCUGCAGA